UGCCUGGUGGUCCAGUGGUUAAGACUCCACACUUCCAAGGCAGGGGACCAGGUUCAAGUCCUGGUCAGGGAA
rnacentral:tRNA from 1 species